rnacentral:rRNA from 1 species
UUAUGGCUCAGGAUGAACGCUGGCGGCGUGCUUAACACAUGCAAGUCGAACGGGAUAUACUUUUAGCUUGCUAAGUUGUAUAUCUAGUGGCGGACGGGUGAGUAACGCGUGGGUAACCUGCCGUAUGCUGGGGGACAACAGUUGGAAACGACUGCUAAUACCGCAUAAGCGCACGAGAUCGCAUGAUCCUGUGUGAAAAAACUCCGGUGGCAUACGAUGGACCCGCGUCUGAUUAGCCAGUUGGCAGGGUAACGGCCUACCAAAGCGACGAUCAGUAGCCGGCCUGAGAGGGUGAACGGCCACAUUGGGACUGAGACACGGCCCAGACUCCUACGGGAGGCAGCAGUGGGGAAUAUUGCACAAUGGGGGAAACCCUGAUGCAGCGACGCCGCGUGAGUGAAGAAGUAUUUCGGUAUGUAAAGCUCUAUCAGCAGGAAAGAAAAUGACGGUACCUGACUAAGAAGCCCCGGCUAACUACGUGCCAGCCGCGGC